rnacentral:SRP_RNA from 1 species
ACCGGGCUCAGUAACUCGAGCUUGUAACCCAAGUGGGGGUGUUAAGGUGAUGGAACAUUGGGCUAGCCCACGCAGUCGGAUUGUUAAUGGCUAUUGCCUGGCCUGUCCGUUCCAAGCCGUGAGUGAGUGGUGCGGUUUAGGCGGAGGCCUGGGCCGCUCUGUUCCUAAAGCUGGAGGGUACCGCGUCAGGCUGGCUUCACAGAGCAGCGACAACCUCCCUCUCACGGCGGUGGAAGGAUAACGGGCUGGUGCCGUUGCAGUCCAAUAUGGCCCGGUGGGUUGGCCCUAAUCGAACUAUCACUUUU